CGGCGGACGGGUGAGUAACGCGUGGGUAACCUGCCUCAUACAGGGGGAUAACAGUUGGAAACGGCUGCUAAUACCGCAUAAGCGCACAGUACCGCAUGGUACCGUGUGAAAAACUCCGGUGGUAUGAGAUGGACCCGCGUCUGAUUAGCUAGUUGGUGGGGUAACGGCCUACCAAGGCGACGAUCAGUAGCCGGACUGAGAGGUUGAACGGCCACAUUGGGACUGAGACACGGCCCAG
rnacentral:rRNA from 1 species